rnacentral:rRNA from 1 species
GACGAACCGUGCGAACGUUAUUCGGAAUCACUGGGCUUAAAGGGCGCGUAGGCGGGUCCGCCAGUCUGUGGUGAAAUCCUCCGGCUUAACCGGAGAACUGCCGUGGAUACUGCGGAUCUCGAGGGGUGUAGGGGCAUGCGGAACUCAGGGUGGAGCGGUGAAAUGCGUAGAUAUCCUGAGGAACGCCGGUGGCGAAAGCGGCGUGCUGGACACCUUCUGACGCUGAGGCGCGAAAGCCAGGGGAGCAAACGGG